rnacentral:sRNA from 1 species
AAAAAAACCCACCACCCCCUCACUGCCUCAGUCACCGCCACCACUGCUAGCGGGCCCAAAGAAACAGCUCGCUGCCUUUAAUUUGGGGACCUAUGUUAAUGAAGUUGGUAAUUAAUUCGUCGCUUUGUUGUCGGUUCUUAUACUGUAUGUGUAAUCAAAUGUGGCCGUCCUUGGGAUUUACAGCAAUUAGCGAAUUACGGGAGUGCGCACGAGGCUGCAAGUUCUCCGCAGCCCGGCUGGGCUCGGCUCCGGCUCGGCCUAAGGCUGGGCACUCCGCUGCCGCAGCUGACUUGCAGGUGUGUUCUAAGAGCGUGAGGUCCUGGAGGCUCCACGAACCCUGGAGCGCCUCCGGGCUUGCCCAGAUCUUCCUGGCUCCUCUGUAGCUGCUCCAGUCCGAAGAAAACCCCUGGCUGUCGCGUUCCCUGGAGCCACGACUUUGUGGGGCCUAGGCUUGGGGGGAGGAGGAAUUCUGCCCAGACUCUCCAGCAGUUGGUAGCAGGCAGGCUUUCUCCUGUGUCGCCUGGAAAAGUUGCAAAAUUGCUCUUCACCUGUAAGAACAUGCUUUUUUAUCUUCCAGUCUCUUCUUGUCAAUUUGGAAAUUGCAGACAGCCCGGCUCAGGUACUGUUUCCACAAACCCUAUUCUAGGUCAGGACAAAAGCCACUGGCUUUGGGGGAGGGGGGGUUGGUGGAGAGGGUGGGCUGCUUCCAAAAAAAAAAAAAAAAAAAAAAAAAACCU